rnacentral:rRNA from 1 species
GAUGAACGCUGGCGGCGUGCUUAACACAUGCAAGUCGAACGGAAAGGCCACAGCUUGCUGUGGUACUCGAGUGGCGAACGGGUGAGUAACACGUGGGUGAUCUGCCCUGUACUUCGGGAUAAGCUUGGGAAACUGGGUCUAAUACCGGAUAGGAAUCACAUGUGGGUGUGUGGUUGGAAAGCUUUUGCGGUAUGGGAUGAGCUCGCGGCCUAUCAGCUUGUUGGUGGGGUAAUGGCCUACCAAGGCGUCGACGGGUAGCCGGCCUGAGAGGGUGUACGGCCACAUUGGGACUGAGAUACGGCCCAGACUCCUACGGGAGGCAGCAGUGGGGAAUAUUGCACAAUGGGCGCAAGCCUGAUGCAGCGACGCCGCGUGGGGGAUGACGGCCUUCGGGUUGUAAACUCCUUUCGGGCGAAGCGAAAGUGACGGUACCUGGAUAAGAAGCACCGGCUAA